GCCGGUGUGGCGGAACUGGCAGACGCACAGGACUUAAAAUCCUGCGGGUGGCAACACCUGUACGGGUUCGAUUCCCGUUGCCGGCA
rnacentral:tRNA from 1 species